AAACAUAACCUUUAGCCAAACAAGUAUUAAAGGCAACGCCUGCCCAGUGAAUAAUUCAACGGCCGCGGUACCCUAACCGUGCAAAGGUAGCAUAAUCAUUUGUCUAUUAAUUGUAGACCUGUAUGAAUGGCAAAAUGAGGGUUCAACUGUCUCUUAUAAUAAGUCUAUUAAACUGAUCUUCUAGUAAAAAAGCUAGAAUACCCCCAUAAGACCAGAAGACCCUGUGAAGCUUAAACUAAACCAUUAAACCCAAUAAUGACUACUUUCGGUUGGGGCGACCUUGGAAAUAAAAAUAACUUCCAAUACAUGUGAUACACCACACCCACUAGGCCUACAAGCCAAUAAAUGACCCAGUACUACUGAUAAUAGAAUAAAGUUACUCCAGGGAUAACAGCGCUAUCUUCUUCAAGAGCCCAUAUCAAAAAGAAGGUUUACGACCUCGAUGUUGGAUCAGGACAUCCUAAUGGUGCAACCGCUAUUAAGGGUUCGUUUGUUCAACGAUUAAUGUCCUACGUGAU
rnacentral:rRNA from 1 species